GCAUUCGUGAUGUAGUGGUCAGCACGCUCGACGCGUAAUCGAGAGGUCCGUGGUUCGAUUCCCGGCAAAGGAG
rfam:Stegodyphus mimosarum contig24369, whole genome shotgun sequence.